rnacentral:lncRNA from 1 species
CAGGAAGGGUCCCUUUUUCCCCUUCCUCCUCCAGCUGCAGGAUGUGAUCCACCGACAAGGAGGGACACCAAUAAGGCGUCCGAUAAGCUUAAGAAUGUUGUGAUUAGAAAUUUGUGCCAUCACCCUGGUUGGUGUAGGACUGGGAAUCAAACCAGGGACUCCUGCCUGCUGGGUGAGUACUCCACCAACUGAGCAGCAUCCCUGAUACCCUCAGAAUAUAAACACGCACAGAGCUGCGGCACCAGAUGAAGCCCCUCCUUUGUAGUGAGCCCAUCAGUCUCUGACAGGAGCUUGUCACUCAUCAGUACCAUCCUCCCAAAAGACUGACAGCUGGGAAGCCUAUAUGAAACUGAACUAGGCCCUCUGAAUGGAAGGUCACAGCAGCUUACAGCAUCACAGCCAGGAAUCAGAGAGCAAGACAGGAAAUGAGUAGGUAACAACCACUCCCAAGAUCUGUACCUAGUGACCUCCUUCCUUCUGCUCAGCCAGCCCCCAUAACCAUUCUGACUGGAGUGAAGGGGUCUCUAAGAGAGACACUAUGCCCCUUCCUUUGGCAAUCAGACUAUUAAAACGAUGGUCUCCUAGAAAUUUGAAUUUCCCAGGAGUCUCUUGUUGGGUGAGAAAAAUGAAGCUGGUGACAGCCAGAGGGACAGCUUGUCUCCCAGGAAGAGAUGUCAUCCAGUUCUGACAACCUGCAGCACAGACUGGAGCCGAAAACCGAUGAACUAAGAAGUCAAUGUGACCAGCUGCUUCAUGCUCCUGCCACCAUGCCUUCCCCAGCAUGAUGAACUAUACCCUCAAACUGUGAGCCAGAGCCAACCAUUUCUUCCUCAUGUUGCUGUCAUCAGAUAAUGUUGUCACAGCAAGGAGACAAGUAACUGGCACAAACCUCUAGACUCCCUUGUUGAGAUCUUGUUUUCUCAGGUGGUGGCACCAUUUUGGAAGAUUCUGGAAACUUUAUAAGAUGCUUACCUGCCUAUCUGGGGACAUGUGUCAUGGCACCCAUGGAGAUCACAGGAUAGCAUGUUGGAGUCAGUUCUCUUCUCCCAUCUUCACUGGGCUUUCAAGACAUCAUCAUCUGCUGUUCUCUUGCCAUUUUGUGUAUUUUCAACACAGUCAAGGAUCAUUGCUUGCUAAUCUUCACUGGUUGAAAUGUUUCUCAAAUGAAAUUAGCUCUUUGAUUUGAUUUAGUACUUUCUUUUACAUUGUAUUUUGCUUAUUAUUAUAAACAGACUUUCAAAUAAUUCAUACUGUGAAGUAUCCUAUUCAUUUCUGUACUUUAAGAAUGGUGUGGGACAUGCUUGUUUUGAAAUUUCUUACAGAUGGUACAUAGUUGCAUGUCUAUCUUCAACCUAGUUUUAAUUUUUAUUAUUUUAUGUGUAUGGGUCUUUUGCCAACAUGCAAGUCUGUGUAUCAUGUUUGUGUCUGGUUCUCAUGGAGGCAAAAAAAAAAAAAAAAAAGCAUUGGGACCAUUGGUAGUGGAGUUAAGGUUGUGAGCCACCACAUGGGUGCUGGAAAUCAAACCCAGGUCCUCUUCAAGAGCAGCCAGUGCUCUUAACCGAUGAGCCAUUUCUUCAGCCCCUUCAACUCAGUUUUUUGUAAUAACAAUUAAUGUAAGAGACUAUGAAUUUGAAAGAGAGCAAGAAGUGGUAUAUGGGAAAUGAUGUAAUUAUAAUCUCAAAAAUA